rnacentral:misc_RNA from 1 species
GAUGAAGAACGCAGCGAACUGCGAUAAGUAAUGUGAAUUGCAGAAUUCAGUGAAUCAUCGAGUCUUUGAACGCACAUUGCGCCCCUUGGUAUUCCGAGGGGCAUGCCUGUUCGAGCGUCAUUAUAACCCCUCAAGCUCAGCUUGGUAUUGGGGCCUGCCAUCCUGGCAGCCCUUAAAAUCAGUGGCGGUGCCAUCCGGCUCUAAGCGUAGUAACUCUUCUCGCUAUGGAGUCCUGGUGGAUGCUUGCCAUUAAUCUUUUAACUUCUAUGGUUGACCUCGGAUCAGGUAGGGAUACCCGCUGAACUUAAGCAUAUCAAUAAGCGGAGGA